AUGCCUACUCCUCAUAAAGUCUUCCCUGUGGGAGCUAAAUGGGUUUUUAUUCGAAAAAGGAACGAAAACAAUGAGGUGGUGAGAUAUAAAGCGAGACUAGUAGCUCAAGGGUUUACGCAGAGACCCGGUAUCGACUACGACGAUACAUAUUCUCCUGUAAUGAAUGGAAUUACAUUUCGAUACUUAAUAUCUUUGGCAGUACAAAUGAAUCUACCUAUGCAGUUAAUGGAUGUAGUGGCCGCUUAUCUAUAUGGGUCACUCGAUGCGGAAAUUUAUAUGAAAAAACUCAACAUGGAUAAAUCAUAUCCAUCCAAAACACCUAUGGUCGUCAGAUCCCUUGAUAUGAACAAGGAUCCUUUUAGGCCAAGGGAUGAUAACGAGGAAGUAUUGGGACCUGACUUUCCAUACCUCAGUGCCAUAGGAGCACUAAUGUACCUUGCAAAUUGUACUAGACCAGACAUUGCCUUUGCGAUGCAUAUGGGAUAUAUUAAAAGUAAUAUCACAAAACAUAUCUCUCCAAAACUAUUUCUUCCUCAUGAAUUACAGAAAGAUGGAGAGAUUGAUAUUUUGCAAAUAAAAUCUUGUGACAAUCUUGCAGAUUUGUUCACUAAGUCUUUACCAGGAGCAGCAUUUCAAAAAUGCAUUCAUGGCAUUGGUAUGAGACGACUACGAAAUUUGCAAAGUUCAGGGGGAGAAAACUCCUAG
rnacentral:rRNA from 1 species